AUAUAUGUGUGGUUCAGAUCAUAUCUAUGUUCAGAUCUAGACCUGUAGAGCUAUAGUUAUUGUUUUUGGCUACAGAGAACAGCACAGUAUCUAGAUGUGUCUCCUGGCUUUGUUUCUUUCUGCUUGGGUAUUAUCAGUAGCUUUUGGUGUGCUUUUUGUUUUUUGAGUAAUCUAGCAUUAAAACUAGAUCUAAUGUUGUAGAUAUAUAGAUAGUUCUUUAUUGUUCUCUAUCUCUAUUUGGCCAUGAUUCGGCAUAGUUUGCUUUGUAUGUUAAAAUUUACACCUUUUGUAGGUUGCUCACAUGGUCAGAUAUGUCCAUAGUGAAUGGAAAUGGUCCAAAUGUGGGAAGACUAGAAACAUGUAUUAAUGGAGAUGGGGGACUGUGUGUGAUGAUAAGUGGUCACACACCAAUGCUCAGGUAGUCUGCAGACAACUAAGAUACUCUACUGAUGGGGCUGUAUUUCUUAGUAAAGCAUUUUUUGGUGCCGGGAUUGGGACCAUAUUAUUAGAUGAUGUUGUUUGUUCAUUACUGAAUGGAUCUCUUCAGUGAAUUUUUUCAAGUUGCUAAUGAAAUGUCUUACUUAGCAACAUUUAUGAUGAUCUUGUUGCUAUAAACUGCAUGUAGUCUAAGUCUUUAAAUUUAAAACACCAGUAAAUCUAUUUUAACUAAUUUAUAUUUCAUGAAUUGAUGAUAAUUGUAUUGCUAAAGCUGAUUUUGGUCUAUUUGAUAACAUAAUAUGCUUGCAAUUACUUCAGGCAACUAAAGGGCAGUGAUAAUAACUCAGGAUCAUCAACAGUUAAACUACCAGUGAAAUAGAUGGCAUUAAAGACCCUUCAUGAUGGACUGUUCUCUGAAAAAUCAGAUGUUUGGUCUUAUGGUGUUCUUUGUUGGAAAAUAUUCAGUCUUGGUAAGGUACCAUAUCCUGGUCUGGAUCCAAUAGGAGUAGUGGAGUUACUGGAUACUGGAGGAUGAUUGCAUUAUGGAACCGCUCAAUGCAUCACAGGAAAUGCAAGAGCAUACAGAUUUACUUAGCAGGUCUAGGUGUGGUUAGAAAGAGCUGUAUAGCCAUACUAAAAAUGUUGCUCCUCACAUUACUUUUCUCUGCUUGGAUAUUAUCAACAGCUCUAGUCAAUGGUUGCUUACAUGGUCAGGUACGUUUAGUAGAUGGAGAUGGUCCAAAUGUGGGAAGACUAGAAAUAUGUAUUAAUGGAGAUUGGGGAACUGUUUGUGAUGAUAUGUGGACACACACCAAUGCUCAGGUAGUCUGUAGACAACUGGGAUACUCUACUGAUGGUAA